GCCACAGACUCCUCAGAAAGGCUCCCGAGAGGGUGACACCCACCCCCUCUGGCCAUGAGCCCCUUUCUGCCCCACUCCUACCCUCCAGGCCAGGCCACUGAUGUCACUGGUGCCAGGACAGCAUUGUUCUCCCUCCCACACCCGCCUUCACCUCACAAGCCCCAUCACCAUGGGAACUGAGCCAGCCACUCAGAACACAGAGUUUUCAAAGGGCAGCCUUAUAUACGGAGUCACCUCUCCCCAGAGAGGUCACAGCCAACAUUCAGAGGCCUCCCAGGGCCCCCUCUCCCUGGAUAAACCACUUCAGCUGCCCCCCAUUUUUCUCGAGGGAGAAAAAGGGGAAUCCUCUGUCCAGAAUGAGCAGGAAGGAGAGCCAAGCCUACAGUCACCCAGCUUAGAGCUCCAGUCCCCUGCGUGGCCACGCCAUGCAGGAGUGGCUCAGGAGCCCCUGAAAGUGUCCAGCAGCUACCUCAGUGACACCCAGAGCAGCGAGAGUCAUGUUUCCAGCGUGCAGCACCCGAGGCCAGAGGAGGGCAGCCAUGCCAGCCUGAGCAGCGGGUACGCAGGGGACAAGGAGGGCAGCGACAUCAGCUUGGUGGGCAGCCACCGGAGAGUGCGGCUGAACAGAAGGCUCAACACCCAGGCGGCCAGUAACCAAACCAGCCAGCUGGGCUCCAUAGACCCUCCCAGCUCUCUAAAGAGCCGGCUGACUGGCCCCGCCCACAGCACCAAGCAGACUGGAGGGAAAGAGUGAGGCCAGCCUGCCCGGCAGCGGCAGCGGCAGCAGCAUCCUGUCCAGCGCCAGCUUCAUCAGCUUGGGCAGCAGUGCCCUCACCUACAAGGUGAGCAGCGGGCUGCUGACUUCCACAGCCAGCCUUCCCUCCACCCAGGCCAGCAGCCGUCAGAGCGUCCGGCUGGAUGGCAGUGCCCAAAACAGGCAGAGCAGCCACACCAGCGUGCAGGAGGACAAGACGGGCGGCAACGUGAAAACCAGUGAGCAGGUCACCACGGGGGAGCAGCCUGCCCAGGUGUGCAUGCCUUUGUGAGAAUCCUCUCCAGCAGCCAGAGUCUCCCAGAAAACAACACACAGGCCCAGCAAACACAGGCUGCACCCAGAGUGGAUAUUCCCAAAACAAGUAGGAAAGGUGUUUUCAAAAGCACACACUGACUGUGUCAACCAUCAGUGGGUAAUCCCAUUUGUAGCAACAAGCAUCAGUGGGCAGGCCACAUGUAGCAGGAAGGAUCUAUGCUGAGCACCGCCUAUCCUGAGAACACAGUCAGUGAGGAGACUGUCUAUACUGAGAACCACUGUUGCUAGGAAGAGCUGUAGUAUCAAGAUUCACCAAUGCUGAGUCCACCUGUGUCAAAACAGCGAAGAGUAAUGACAUCGACUGUGAACUUCAGUGACAAGCCAUCUAUAACAAGAUCCAUCAAUGGCAAAACCAUCUGUAGUCAGCAGCAUCCUGGUGGGACCCCCUGUACCAAAACUCAUCAGUGGCGACAGAUGUUCUCGAUGGCAAACGCUGACGAUAUUAAGAACUGUCACGAGUUAGAACCUUCCAUGAUGAAACCAUCCUAAAUGAUGAAUGCCAUCUGCAACCAACACCAGCCACGAUGAGCUCAGAAGAAACAAGCUGCAACCAUGGUUGGGACUGUCCAUAUCAAGAACCAUCUGCAGUGAGCGCCAUGCGUGGAGAGCCACAUCCACAUGAAACUUCAUCCUGGCCAAGCAGCACCACACUCUGUCCAUCAUUGUCACUGCCCGCAGAAGCACUAGCAAGACAGCCACGGUGCACACGGAGCACCUUCACGACUCUCAGCUCCCCCAAGGAGUCCAGACUAAGUGACUGUCACCAGAGAAGGAUCAUCAGGAGCAGCCAGGGAUGCCCCCGGCACACAGGGACUAGGUCUAGUGAGAACAUUAGAGGGCGGUGUAAAUGGAUCCCCAUGCCUGGGCACCUGUAAUCCCAACUACUUGGGAGGCACCAUCCCAGAGAGCUCCAAGCGUCCUUUUUUUUUUUUUUUUCCUUUGAGUGCUGUCUCUGGACAUCUUCAGCCCAGAAUCUUCUCAGGAGCAAAGGCUUCCUGAUGCCUCAUUCAUGUCAAGAAAGGAGGCCAGGAGCCAUCCUGUGUUCAGAUGGUUGAGACAGUGACUACGAUGGCAGGACAAUGCCGUGAGAAGCACUUCAUGGUGACAGAGCCCAACCCAGCCGGGAACAGCUGCGAUGGGGAAGCUCUGGAGCAUUUUGUGAGCACCGUCUCGGUGGAUGGGAAAGCCGAAGUCUCUGCCCGUCUCUUACUGGAGGCACUAAACCCCCUCCCUGGGUUGACCUCACAGACAUUGAAGUGAGUCUGCCCACAAAGGAAAAGAGGCCAGAGACUGUCGUGAAGACAUCCACUAGGUACCAGAAGGAAAGCUGAGGGGGCAGCAAAGACAAUAAAAGGUGUCUAGAGAGGUC
rnacentral:lncRNA from 1 species